UCCCUGGUGGCUUAGACGGUAAAGCGUCUGCCUACAAUGCAGGAGACCCGGGUUUGAUCCCUGAGUCGGGAA
rnacentral:tRNA from 1 species